rnacentral:rRNA from 1 species
GAUGAACGCUGACAGAAUGCUUAACACGUGCAAGUCUACUUGAUCCUUCGGGUGAUGGUGGCGGACGGGUGAGUAACGCGUAAAGAACUUGCCCUGCAGUCUGGGACAACAUUUGGAAACGAAUGCUAAUACCGGAUAUUAUGUGAGUUUCGCAUGAAAUUCAUAUGAAAGCUAUAUGCGCUGCAGGAGAGCUUUGCGUCCUAUUAGCUAGUUGGUGAGGUAACGGCUCACCAAGGCGAUGGUAGGUAGCCGGCCUGAGAGGGUGAACGGCCACAAGGGGGACUGAGACACGGGCCCUUACUCCUACGGGAGGCAGCAGUGGGGAAUAUUGGGACAAUGGACCAAAAGUCUGAUCCAGCAAUUCUGUGUGCACGAUGAAGUUUUUCGGAAUGUAAAGUGCUUUUCAGUCGUACGGG